rnacentral:rRNA from 1 species
UACGAAGGGGGCUAGCGUUGUUCGGAAUUACUGGGCGUAAAGCGCGCGCAGGCGGUCUUCCAAGUCAGUGGUGAAAGCCCGGAGCUCAACUCCGGAAUUGCCAUUGAAACUGUUAGACUUGAGGAUGAGAGAGGUGAGUGGAAUUCCCAGUGUAGAGGUGAAAUUCGUAGAUAUCUGCAGGAACACCCGUGGCGAAAGCGGCGAGCUGGACCACUACUGACGCUGAAGAACGAAAGCUAGGGGAGCAAACAGG